GAUGAACGCUGGCGGCGUGCUUAACACAUGCAAGUCGAACGGGGGUGCCUUUGAUUGAGACUUCGGUUGAUUGAUUAGGUUACCUAGUGGCGGACUGGUGCGUAACACGUGAGUAACCUGCCUUGGAGUGUGGAAUAACACAGCGAAAGUUGUGCUAAUACCGCAUAAUGUAGUUGUACCGCAUGGUGCCGACUACCAAAGAUUUAUCGCUCUGAGAUGGACUCGCGGCCGAUUAGCUAGUUGGUGAGGUAACGGCUCACCAAGGCGACGAUCGGUAGCCGGACUGAGAGGUUGACCGGCCACAUUGGGACUGAGAUACGGCCCAGACUCCUACGGGAGGCAGCAGUGGGGAAUAUUGGGCAAUGGGCGAAAGCCUGACCCAGCAACGCCGCGUGAAGGAUGAAGGUCUUCGGAUUGUAAACUUUAGUCGUCGGGGACGAGAACGGACGGUACCCGAGGUGAAGCCACGUCUAACUACGUG
rnacentral:rRNA from 1 species